AUUGAACGCUGGCGGCAGGCUUAACACAUGCAAGUCGAGCGGAGCGAGGGUGCUUGCACCUUAGCUUAGCGGCGGACGGGUGAGUAAUGCUUAGGAAUCUGCCUAUUAGUGGGGGACAACAUUCCGAAAGGAAUGCUAAUACCGCAUACGCCCUACGGGGGAAAGCAGGGGAUCUUCGGACCUUGCGCUAAUAGAUGAGCCUAAGUCGGGUUAGCUAGUUGGUGGGGUAAAGGCCUACCAAGGCGACGAUCUGUAGCGGGUCUGAGAGGAUGAUCCGCCACACUGGGACUGAGACACGGCCCAGACUCCUACGGGAGGCAGCAGUGGGGAAUAUUGGACAAUGGGCGGAAGCCUGAUCCAGCCAUGCCGCGUGUGUGAAGAAGGCCUUUUGGUUGUAAAGCACUUUAAGCGAGGAGGAGGCUACUUGGAUUAAUACUCUGGGAUAGUGGACGUUACUCGCAGAAUAAGCACCGGCUAACUCUGUGCCAGCAGCCGCCGUAA
rnacentral:rRNA from 1 species